AAAGCUCGCCGGGGGAGCUACUUCACUGUUGCCCUGUCUGACCCUUGUCUUUUGCGUACUAUUUGUUUCCUCGGUGGGCUUGCCUGCCGAUAGGACAACCAUUAAACCUUUUGUAAUUGCAAUCAGCGUCAGAAAAAACAUAAUAGUUACAACUUUCAACAACGGAUCUCUUGGUUCUGGCAUCGAUGAAGAACGCAGCGAAAUGCGAAAAGUAGUGUGAAUUGCAGAAUUCAGUGAAUCAUCGAAUCUUUGAACGCACAUUGCGCCCCUUGGUAUUCCAUGGGGCAUGCCUGUUCGAGCGUCAUUUGUACCUUCAAGCCCUGCUUGGUGUUGGGUGUUUGUCCCGCUUUGUGCGUGGACUCGCCUCAAAGCAAUUGGCAGCCGGCGUACUAGCCUGGGAGCGCAGCACAUUUUGCGCAUCUUGUCUUGAACGCUUGCGUCCAUGAAGCCUACAUUUUACUCUUGACCUCGGAUCAGGGAGGGAUACCCGCUGAACUUAAGCUACAAAGGCC
rnacentral:rRNA from 1 species